rnacentral:lncRNA from 1 species
GGAAGCUCUAUGGCUUUUAUCACAUACAGUGAUACAGGCUAAGAAACAACAACUAAUUGUUUCCCAGAAGAUGAGAAUGCUGAUCAAAACUGCUGUUGGAGGUAAUUUUUGUUGUACUCAACUGGCUCCUUUAAUCAGUUCUGCAUCUGGAUAAAUGAAUGCUGCUUUCAGAUGUUGAUGUUUUAUGCUUACUGCCUUUUGUUUGGUGUUCUUUCCUUUUCAAAAAGGUUAAUAUAUGAUUCUGUGCUUAAGAUAUUCUUUACUGCUUUUAGUUUGCUGCUUUUUUAUUUCUAGACAGACAGUUAAUAUCCUGUUCUUUUUUUUAAGAUUCCUCAGCCUUUCUUAGCUUCUCCUCAGGUAAAAGAUUCCAAAUUUCUCAAUCUCCAAAUUUUAGCUCUUCCUUCUUAAAUUUUAGAAAAAGGGUUUGUGGAGACAGAAAUCAAGUGGAAUUAAUCAAGCUAUGACUUCAGAAACAAGCAUCCAUCACACAUAAUAAUACAUUAAAAGACAAACCUUGAGGAUGACAACAACAUACUUGUUGGACUUUAUGCCAUAUAUCAAAACUUUAGGAACCUAGUUAGGCUUAAAGAACUUGAGCUUUAGCCCACUGUUCACCAUGCUCCAAACACCUCCUGCAGAUAAGGCUAAGCUGAAAGCCAUGCCGAUGAUGCCAAGGCUCCAAUUAAGAUACCAGCUGAAGCUAAACCUCUGAGGCUUCUUUAUACCAAUCCACAUGAAACAAGGGUAAGCAAAGGUGACAGG